rnacentral:rRNA from 1 species
CUACGGGUGGCUCCAGUGAGGAAUAUUGCACAAUGGGGGGAACCCUGAUGCAGCAACGCCGCGUGGAGGAUGACGCAUUUCGGUGUGUAAACUCCUUUUAUAUGUCAAGAAAAUGACGGUAGCAUAUGAAUAAGCACCGGCUAACUCCGUGCCAGCAGCCGCGGUAAUACGGAGGGUGCAAGCGUUACUCGGAAUCACUGGGCGUAAAGGACGCGUAGGCGGGUUGGAAAGUCAGGUGUGAAAUCCUACAGCUUAACUGUAGAACUGCACUUGAAACUUCUAAUCUAGAGUAUGGGAGGGGGAGAUGGAAUUAGUGGUGUAGGGGUAAAAUCCGUAGAUAUCACUAGGAAUACCUAAAGCGAAGGCGAUCUCCUGGAACAUUACUGACGCUAAGGCGUGAAAGCGUGGGGAGCAAACAGGAUUAGAUACCCGGGUAGUC